GAGGGGUGCAAGCGUUAUUCGGAAUCAUUGGGCGUAAAGGGUGCGUAGACGGCUUAUCAAGUCAACUGUUAAAUUCUCCGGCCUAACUGGAGGUCAGCAGUAGAAACUGAUAGGCUUGAGGUUGGAAGAGAGAAGUGGAAUUCUCGGAGUAGCGGUAAAAUGCGUAGAUCUCGAGAGGAACACCGAUGGCGAAGGCAGCUUCUUGGUCCAUACCUGACGUUGAGGCACGAAAGCGUGGGGAGCAAACAGGGAUUAGAUACCCUGGUAGUCCACGCCGUAAACGAUGAUCACUAGACGUUAAUUCUGCUUGCAGAAUCAGUGUCGUAGCUAACGCGCUAAGUGAUCCGCCUGGGGACUACGGUCGCAAGACUA
rnacentral:rRNA from 1 species